UAGCUUGUCUCAAAGAUUAAGCCAUGCAUGUCUAAGUAUAAGCAAUUAUACGGCGAAACUGCGAAUGGCUCAUUAAAUCAGUUAUUGUUUAUUUGAUAGUACCUUACUACUUGGAUAACCGUGGUAAUUCUAGAGCUAAUACAUGCUAAAAACCCCGGCUUCGGGAGGGGUGUAUUUAUUAGAUUAAAAACCAAUGCCCUCUGGGGCUUCUUGGUGAUUCAUGAUAACUUCUCGGAUCGCACGGCCUUGCGCCGGCGACGGUUCAUUCAAAUUUCUGCCCUAUCAACUUUCGACGGCUGGGUAUUGGCCAGCCGUGGUGACAACGGGUAACGGAGGGUUAGGGCUCGACCCCGGAGAAAACGCCUGAGAAACGGCGUUUACAUCCAAGGAAGGCAGCAGGCGCGCAAAUUACCCAAUGCCGACUCGGCGAGUAGUGACGAUAAAUACUGGUACGGGGCUCUUUCGGGUCUCGUAACUGGAAUGAGUACAAUUUAAAUCCCUUAACGAGGAACAAUUGGAGGGCAAGUCUGGUGCCAGCAGCCGCGGUAAUUCCAGCUCCAAUAGCGUAUAUUAAAAUUGUUGAGAUUAAAAAGCUCGUAGUUGAACCUUGGGCCUGGCUGGCCGGUCCGCCUCACCGCGUGCACUGGUCCGGCCGGGCCUUUCCCUCCGGGGAACCCCAUGCCCUUCACUGGGCGUGGCGGGGAACCGGGACUUUUACUUUGAAAAAAUUAGAGUGUUCAAAGCAGGCCUAUGCUCGGAUACAUUAGCAUGGAAUAAUAGAAUAGGACGUGCGGUUCUAUUUUGUUGGUUUCUAGGACCGCCGUAAUGAUUAAUAGGGACAGUCGGGGGCGUCAGUAUUCAAUUGUCAGAGGUGAAAUUCUUGGAUUUAUUGAAGACUAACUACUGUCGAAGGCAUUCGUCAAGGAUGUUUUCAUUAAUCAGGAACGAAAGUUAGGGGAUCGAAGACGAUCAGAUACCGUCGUAGUCUUAACCGUAAACUAUUAAGUCUAGGGAUCGGACGGUGGUUCUAUUUGCCCCGUCCGGCACCUUACACGAAAGUAUAAGAGCUUAUUCUGGGAAAUACGGUACAAUACUGAACUU
rnacentral:rRNA from 1 species